rnacentral:lncRNA from 1 species
GUAUUGCUUAUGCACUUAUUUCUUCCCAAAAUAGAGAAAAGUUUGAUAAGAAAGGAGAAAAAAAUAUUUUCUUAGGACAUCGUGAAGAAUUUAAGGUCUAUCACCUCCAAAUAAAAAUGAGCUUAUUGUUUCUCAAGAUGUUUUUUAUGAUGAGUUGGCAGUAUAGAAGUGGAAGAAAAUUUUUUCUCAUGAUUCGAGAAUACUUGAGCUAAGAGAGCGAAGCCAAGAAGAUUUACAACAAUAUGAAAGUCCAAAAUCAUCAAGAUUAGGAACUUUAACCCAAGUCAUCAUUGCUUCUAAUUCACCCC